rnacentral:misc_RNA from 1 species
GAAGGAGACAUGUGUGCUUCUGCAACUGGGGUUGUAAGAGUGCAGUCAAGAAGGAAAUCAGAAAUGUUUUUAGUAAGAACUGAUGGUUUUUCUUGUACCAGAGAAAAGGUUACUAAAUCUUCCUUGGCCUUCACUCAUCCAAGUACCCAGCAACAGAUGCUUAUGUGGAAAUCAACACCAAAGACUGUAUUGCUGUUGAAGAAGCUGGGGAAGGAACUCAUGGAAGAAGCUAAAGAGGUUGCCUCUUUCCUUUAUCACCAAGAGAAAAUGAAUGUGCUUGUUGAACCUGAUGUUCAUGACAUAUUUGCUAGAAUCCCAGGGUUUGGAUUUAUUCAGACCUUUUACAGUCAAGAUACCAGUGAUCUUCAUGAAAGGGUUGAUUUUGUGGCAUGCUUGGGGGGAGAUGGGGUUAUACUCCAUGCAUCAAAUUUAUUUAGAGGUGCUGUUCCUCCUGUUGUAUCCUUUAAUCUUGGAUCUCUUGGAUUUCUGACUUCUCAUAAUUUUGAAGACUACAAGCAGGACUUAAGACAGGUCAUUCAUGGGAAUAAGACAGUGGGUGGUGUUUAUAUAACCCUCAGUAUGCGCCUCCAUUGUGAAAUAUUUCGCAAUGGUAAAGCAGUUCCUGGGAAAGUUUUUGGAGGUGGUUGUUGACCGGGGUUCUAAUCCAUAUAUUUCAAAGAUUGAAUGUUAUGAACAUGAUCGACUUAUAACCAAGGUGCAAGGUGAUGGAAUCAUAAUAGCCACACC